CCGUACGACUGAGUCAAUAGUAUCAUUUUUGAUCACAUAGACGUCCGACAAUCCGUUGCCGUUUCUCAACCAGCCAACUUAUCAAGUAAGCUGGUUGUUGCCCCUAUGAAAAGGCAUACUUGUCACUUUUGUGACCACCAAAAGCACCUCACCUAUAUACUAGUAUUAGUAGUAUAGUAGAUUCGGUGUUGACGUCUUUCUUUUGUCAUCACUAAGCAAGGAACCGCUCGUCAUAUUGUCCAUGAUAGAAUCACCAACAACACAACAGCAAUUGCUUGCCGAAUGCUUCACAGUCCAGAAAAACCGUGAAGACAGUUCACCGUAAUUCGACCCUCAGCCAGACGUGCCAUCGGGAAUGAACCCGAUAGCGCAAUGUGCGUUCGAAUUCUUAGUGCUCAAUGUGUCUGCAAUUCGCACUAUUUAUCGCAGCUGGCUGCGUUCUUCAUCGAUCCACGAACCGAGUGAUCCACCGCCAAGAUUUGUACAUUUUCAACACAUACAAUGAAAUAACAAUGUCAAAUAGACCGGUUGUGUUUUGGGUUUUGGCGGCCACCUAGCGUGGCUCAUUAAGUCUGCUCGACUCUGCCUUAAGCUGCUGCUCAUCAAUGAUGAUUAGCAGCCAAAACAAAGGAACUUUCUCCGCAUCUUUCAUCGCAACUGACGGUCCAGGCAGAAGCUAGAUACGGCGUAGACGCCAAAUUGGUCACCGUUGUUCAACAAGCACACGGCCACUCGUAAGCCAUUGUCUGCCUAAAAAAAGCACAGCAGACGGCUGCCACCACGUGUGUACGAGUUUCCAUGUGGCUCACAACAACAUGCAAAUGGAAGGUAUGCACGUUGGGAGACUUUUUCGUUCGUGUGGAUCGCUCGAUAAUGAUCCUUCCGCAGGUUCACCUACGGGAACAC
rnacentral:misc_RNA from 1 species